GUCCUUUUGAAUUUAAUUUAAGGUCUAACCUGCCCACUGAAAUUAUUUGAAGGGCCGCAGUAAUUUGACUGUGCAAAGGUAGCAUAAUCAUUAGUUUUUUAAUUAAAAGCUUGUAUGAAGGGUUGGACGAGGUAAAUUCUGUCUCUAUUUAAAUUAAUGUAGAAUUUAAUUUUUAAGUUAAAAAGCUUAAAUUUUUUUAAAAGACGAGAAGACCCUAUAGAUCUUUAUAUUAUUUAUAUUAAUUUUAAUUAAGAAUAUUUUAUUUUUUAAUAUUUAUAAUAUUUUAUUGGGGUAAUAAAAAGAUUAAAAAAAUUCUUUUUUUAUUUAUACAUUAAUUAAUGAAUAUAUGAUCCAAUUUUAUUGAUUAAAAGAUUAAGUUACCUUAGGGAUAACAGCGUAAUUUUUUUAGAGAGUUCAUAUCGAUAAAAAAGUUUGCGACCUCGAUGUUGGAUUAAAAAUUAUCUUAGGUGCAGAAGUUUAAGAUUUUGGUCUGUUCGACCAUUAAAUUUUUACAUGAUCUGAGUUCAGACCGGCGUAAGCCAGGUCGGUUUCUAUCUUUAAUAAAAUAUAAUAUUUUAGUACGAAAGGACCAAAUAUUUAAUAUAUUUAUAUUUAAUUAUUUUGAAUAU
rnacentral:rRNA from 1 species